CCUUUUGCUUGGUGAUUUGGUUGAAUUUGAUACUUCAAUCAUGCUUCAAGCUUGUUUAUAACCGAAUUGAAUUCUUUAACAAUUCUUUGCUCUAAGUUUUCCUCAAUUUCAGUUGUUAGCUUCAAUUCCUUGAAAAUUUGAUGAUGAUUUAGGAGUAUAAAAGCUUGGGUAAUUAGAGAGAGAGAGAGAUGAAGUGUGUAACGGAUGAAGCAAGAAAAAGAAUGCUGAGAUUAGUUUUUUUUGAUUCUUUGCCUCUCCUUCCAAGUAUCUGAUAUGAGCUUAGUGUGCUAAUCUCCUGCCACCUCCUACUUAGACUCUAAUGAUUCAUCAUAAGCAUUAACCUCUUGCUUGGUUUUUAAUUCCCAGCAUUCUCCAUUAUUAGU
rnacentral:lncRNA from 1 species